rnacentral:rRNA from 1 species
UACGUAGGGUGCGAGCGUUGUCCGGAAUUAUUGGGCGUAAAGAGCUCGUAGGCGGUCUGUCGCGUCGAUCGUGAAAACUUGGGGCUUAACCCUGAGCUUGCGGUCGAUACGGGCAUGACUGGAGUUCGGCAGGGGAGACUGGAAUUCCUGGUGUAGCGGUGAAAUGCGCAGAUAUCAGGAGGAACACCGGUGGUGAAGGCGGGUCUCUGGGCCGAUACUGACGCUGAGGAGCGAAAGCGUGGGGAUCAAACAGG